rnacentral:rRNA from 1 species
GAUGAACGCUGGCGGCGUGCCUAAUACAUGCAAGUCGAGCGAACGGACGAGAAGCUUGCUUCUCUGAUGUUAGCGGCGGACGGGUGAGUAACACGUGGAUAACCUACCUAUAAGACUGGGAUAACUUCGGGAAACCGGAGCUAAUACCGGAUAAUAUUUUGAACCGCAUGGUUCAAAAGUGAAAGACGGUCUUGCUGUCACUUAUAGAUGGAUCCGUGCUGCAUUAGCUAGUUGGUAAGGUAACGGCUUACCAAGGCAACGAUGCAUAGCCGACCUGAGAGGGUGAUCGGCCACACUGGAACUGAGACACGGUCCAGACUCCUACGGGAGGCAGCAGUAGGGAAUCUUCCGCAAUGGGCGAAAGCCUGACGGAGCAACGCCGCGUGAGUGAUGAAGGUCUUCGGGUCGUAAAACUCUGUUAUUAGGGAAGAACAUAUGUGUAAGUAACUGUGCACAUCUUGACGGUACCUAAUCAGAAAGCCACGGCUAACUACGUG